rnacentral:rRNA from 1 species
CGAACGGGUGAGUAACACGUGGACAACCUGCCUCAAGGCUGGGGAUAACAUUUGGAAACAGAUGCUAAUACCGAAUGAAACUUAGUGUCGCAUGACACGAAGUUAAAAGGCGCUUUGGCGUCACCUAGAGAUGGAUCCGCGGUGCAUUAGUUAGUUGGUGGGGUAAAGGCCUACCAAGACAAUGAUGCAUAGCCGAGUUGAGAGACUGAUCGGCCACAUUGGGACUGAGACACGGCCCAAACUCCAACGGGAGGCUGCAGUAGGGAAUCUUCCACAAUGGGCGAAAGCCUGAUGGAGCAACGCCGCGUGUGUGAUGAAGGCUUUCGGGUCGUAAAGCACUGUUGUAUGGGAAGAACAGCUAGAAUAGGGAAUGAUUUUAGUUUGACGGUACCAUACCAGAAAGGGACGGCUAAAUACGUGCCAGCAGCCGCGGUAAUACGUAUGUCCCGAGCGUUAUCCGGAUUUAUUGGGCGUAAAGCGAGCGCAGACGGUUGAUUAAGUCUGAUGUGAAAGCCCGGAGCUCAACUCCGGAAUGGCAUUGGAAACUGGUUAACUUGAGUGCAGUAGAGGUAAGUGGAACUCCCAUGUGUAGCGGUGGAAUGCGUAGAUAUAUGGAAGAACACCAGUGGCGAAGGCGGCUUACUGGACUGUAACUGACGUUGAGGCUCGAAAGUGUGGGUAGCAAACAG